rnacentral:rRNA from 1 species
UACGAAGGGGCUAGCGUUGUUCGGAAUUACUGGGCGUAAAGCGCGCGCAGGCGGUUCUUCAAGUCAGUGGUGAAAGCCCGGAGCUCAACUCCGGAACUGCCAUUGAAACUGUAGAACUGAGGAUGAGAGAGGUGAGUGGAAUUCCCGAGUGUAGAGGUGAAAUUCGUAGAUAUUGGGAAGAACACCGGUGGCGAAGGCGGCACACUGGCCCGGUACUGACGCUGAGGUGCGAAAGCGUGGGGAGCA